rnacentral:rRNA from 1 species
UAUCAAUAAGCGGAGGAAAAGAAACUAACAAGGAUUCCCCUAGUAACUGCGAGUGAAGCGGGAAAAGCUCAAAUUUAAAAUCUGAUGGCCCUUGGCCGUCCGAGUUGUAAUCUAGAGAAGCGUCUUCCGCGCUGGACCGUGCACAAGUCUCCUGGAAUGGAGCGUCAUAGAGGGUGAGAAUCCCGUCUUUGGCACGGACGCACCAGGGCUUUCGUGAUGCGCUCUCGAAGAGUCGAGUUGUUUGGGAAUGCAGCUCAAAAUGGGUGGUGAACUCCAUCUAAAGCUAAAUAUUGGCGAGAGACCGAUAGCGAACAAGUACCGUGAGGGAAAGAUGAAAAGCACUUUGGAAAGAGAGUGAAACAGUACGUGAAAUUGUUGAAAGGGAAACGCUUGAAGUCAGUCGCGUCGACCGAGACUCAGCCUUGCCUUUGGCUUGGUGUACUUCUCGGCUGACGGGUCAGCAUCAAUUUUGCCCCUCGGAUAAUGGCAAGGGAAAGGUGGCACCUUUACGGGUGUGUUAUAGUCUCUUGUCGCAUGCGAGGGUCGGGAUUGAGGAACUCAGCACGCGCCUCUCGGUGUCGGGGCCUUUUUGGCCCACGCUACGUGCUUAGGAUGCUGGCGUAAUGGCUUUAAACGACCCGUCUUGAAACACGGACCAAGGAGUCUAACAUGCACGCGAGUGUUCGAGUGGAAAACUCGUGCGCGCAAUGAAAGUAAAAGUUGAGAUCUUUGUCAUGAAGAGCAUCGACGCCCGGACCAGACCUUCUGUGACGGAUCUGCGGUAGAGCGUGCAUGUUGGGACCCGAAAGAUGGUGAACUAUGCCUGAAUAGGGUGAAGCCAGAGGAAACUCUGGUGGAGGCUCGUAGCGAUUCUGACGUGCAAAUCGAUCGUCAAAUUUGGGUAUAGGGGCGAAAGACUAAUCGAACCAUCUAGUAGCU